AUGUGGUUUAAUUCGAAGCAACGCGAAGAACCUUACCAGGGCUUGACAUCCCGGCGACCGGUGUAGAGAUACACUUUCUUCUUCGGAAGCGCCGGUGACAGGUGGUGCAUGGUUGUCGUCAGCUCGUGUCGUGAGAUGUUGGGUUAAGUCCCGCAACGAGCGCAACCCUUAUUGUUAGUUGCUACGCAAGAGCACUCUAGCGAGACUGCCG
rnacentral:rRNA from 1 species